UCACUGGAAUAUGCUACGAAACUUUGCUGGCAUCUAUUAUGAACAAAGUCAACUUGACAUGGCAAUUCUGCAUUACAAGCAAGCUAUCAACUGUGAUUCUACCUUUAUUGAAGCUUACAAUAAUCUGGGGAAUGCUCUCAAAGACGUUGAACAUCCUCUCAAAGACGCUGGACAUUAUAGGGUGACUUUUUAAUUUGGAUAUUUUUAUUCUCUUAAGUUUUUUUUCCUUGUUGAAUAACUUCAUUUUAAUAAAUUUUCCCAAGUCAUGCUUUGCUUUACAACCUAACCAUCCACAAGCAUUGUCAAAAGAAGUAAGUUGUGUAGUCAUAUAAGUUGAUUGAAAAGAAAGCAUUGAAGACAAAAAGCCAAACUCUUUUCCCAUGAAAAUUUCAACCAAUAUGGGAAUUAAGCUCUUCCAGUUCGGGAUUGAAGCCUGCAAGGUGAGUUGCUAAUGCCCCCUGUUCCCAGUGCCUCUAGUUUGUGUACAUUAUUUUGGAUGCACUUGUAUUGUUUGAUUAAUUGUCGCUUAGAGCACAGUGACAUUGGUCUUUGUUUGAUCUUUUCUAGAAUGCUUUGUUCAUAGUUACGUAUUUCUUUGUCACUUGAGAGAUUAGUUACAUCAGCUAUGGUCUAAGUUUAUUCCUUGUUAUCAGAUUACCAGUCGACUCCAAUUUAUUUAACUGGUUGUGUUGAUGUUACUAUAAUUGUUGACAAGGUCUUGGAGUUGAGUCCCAUCUUUACCUGUUGAUUAUAUAAUAACUCUAAGCUAACCACUUGAUAACACUCGAAUUUGCUGUUUGCGCGACAUCUAACAUUGAGCUCCAAUUGCCUGGUUCUGCUGAUGAUGUUUCAUCAUCCAAGGUACGCGUUCGACUUUAAAGUACUAACUUAAUGCAAUGGCUUGUUUUGCAUCCUUCUCUUGAUCAAUGGAACAAUUUUGUAGGAUAUCUAUCACUAUGCAUUUUGGUCAAAACAUUGCGUCUUAUCUAAUCUUGUUCACAUGGAUUUUAUAUUCAGAAUUCAGCUAUUGUGAGGAUGACAGUUCUACUUAUAUUAAUACCAAUUGCUCUGAGUUCUUACUUCUGAUUUCUGAAUACUGUAGAAUAUUUGUUAUAUUCAGUAGUCAAAUCUAAUCCUAAAUCAACAUUCAUCAGAGAAUUUUUAGUAGAAUUUAGAGUAUUCUCUCUCUUUCUCUCUUCCUUCUGCAAAUUAUAAGAAGAAUAUAAGUUUCUUUUCAAUCAACUUAUAAGAGUUUGGUAUGCUUUAAUAAUAGCUUUGUUCUUCUAUGCUUUCUUCACUGGAUUUGUUGUGUAGUCAU